AAUGAACGUUGGCGGCGUGGAUUAGGCAUGCAAGUCGCGCGCGAAACGUAGCAUUACGUGGAGAGCGGCGUAAGGGAGAGUAAUGCAUGGUUAGCUACCCUCGGGACUGGGAUAGCGGCGGGAAACUGCCGGUAAUACCAUAUGACAUCCUCCGCACCAACGGUGUAAUCGUCCCGAGGAGGCGACCGUGUCCUAUCAGCUAGUUGGCGGUGUAAUAGACCACCAAGGCUAAGACGGGUAUGGGGCGUGGGAGCGUGCCCCCACUCACUGGGACUGAGACACUGCCCAGACAACUACGGGUGGCUGCAGUCGAGAAUCUUCGGCAAUGGGCGCAAGCCUGACCGAGCGACGCCGCGUGCGGGAUGAAGGCCUUCGGGUUGUAAACCGCUGUCGUAGGGGAGGAAGGCUCCGUGCAGAACGGAGUUUGACCGAUCCUAGGAGGAAGGGCCGGCUAAUCUCGUGCCAGCAGCCGCAGUAAUAC
rnacentral:rRNA from 1 species